AUCGACUGAAAGACCUCGCUUCCAUCAUCUUCUUCCUCCUCAGCUUUGGUAAACUUGUUCAUCGUCUUCUCAAUUAGUUUCAUCCUCAAAAAGAAAGAGUUCUUGAUCGGAGAUUAGUUCUCUCAAAAGUGUUUGAAUCAGGUCAAGAUCUCUCUUUAAAGAUUAGUUCUCUCAAAAGUGUUUGAAUCAGGUCAAGAUCUCUCUUUAAAUUGUCUUUUGUGAUUUCUUGGUUGGUUGGUUAAUGGAGAUGGUCGUUAUGGAUCGACGACCUUGUUGCUUUAUAUAGACACGCCAUUGUUUGUAGAGAGAUAGAAACUUAGGUUGUGACUUUUUAUUUGAGAGAAUAAGAAAAAGUAAAGAAAUCUUUGUAGGAGAUGAUGAAUGAGACUUACGUUUUUU
rnacentral:lncRNA from 1 species